rnacentral:rRNA from 1 species
GUGAGGAAUAUUGGUCAAUGGGCGGGAGCCCGAACCAGCCAAGUCGCGUGAAGGAAGAAGGAUCUAUGGUUCGUAAACUUCUUUUGCAGGGGAAUAAAGUGCAGGACGUGUCCUGUUUUGUAUGUACCCUGAGAAUAAGGAUCGGCUAACUCCGUGCCAGCAGCCGCGGUAAUACGGAGGAUCCGAGGGUUAUCCGGAUUUAUUGGGUUUAAAGGGUGCGUAGGUGGUUUGAUAAGUCAGCGGUGAAAGUUUGCAGCUUAACUGUAAAAAUGCCGUUGAAACUGUCGGACUUGAGUGUAAAUGAGGUAGGCGGAAUGCGUGGUGUAGCGGUGAAAUGCAUAGAUAUCACGCAGAACUCCGAUUGCGAAGGCAGCUUACUAAGCUACAACUGACACUGAAGCACGAAAGCGUGGGGAUCAAACAGGAUUAGAAACCCGUGUAGUCC